CUCUCUCUCUCUGGAAAGGAAAGAAGAAGGAGAAGAACAUGAAGGUGAGGAAGGAAAGGAAGAAGAAGAACAAGGAGGAGAAGAAGGAGAUCAAGAGGAAGGCUUUGGACACCUCCAUUGUAAGGUACCGAAUUUCUAAAGCUAUGAAGUUACAGUGUACAUUUAAAUGGUUCCGGUGAAGUUGCAGUGUAAUGUAACAUACCGGAUUUUAAAUAUAAAAAUAAAUAAAUAAAUAAAAAUAGUAUGAGAUACUAUUUUAUUGGGUUUAGAGAAGUGAAAUAUAGAUUGGAAAUGACCUGUGCUGAAAUCGGAGCGAAAACAGAAGAUUUAGAAUUUUCUGUGAGAAACGGGACAGAUAAAUUAGUAGAAAAUGCACUAUCUCAGAAAAUUAUGAAAAUUGGCAGGGAUGUCAGUAAUAUUUUAUUGAGGCUAGAUUUAAAGUUUCAUAUUUUUCUGACACCCGUAGAGUGAGAAAUAAAAUCCGAAGGCUAUCUGAUAGAAAUUACAGUUCGGCACAGUUUUCGAUGACCAAACGGGGUCGAAACUGAAAACUUAAGAUAUAUUCUUGUUCAGUACAUUAAACCGAAAUGGAUCGGAAAUAAGGCGAAGAUCCACAAAAUAAAGGCGUGUCGAGUGUAAACGGUGCAUACAAGGAUGCGAUCAGCACGAACUGUAUUACCCGUCUCAGAUCCACAGUAUAUCGAAGUAAAAAGCGGUAUAGGGCGAGGCCGCGGGACAAAAGUCCAAGGAGCACAACCUGCUCGAAACCACUCCCGGUAACUCCCGCACCACCGAUAGCUCUGUCAAUGUUGUGAGCUACGUCGUUAUACAUUCCACAACAGUUUGCCAAAAAUGCCACAAACCGUUGACUACAGCAACUUUACUUGCCUUGGUCGCCGACACGUACGCACGACUAAGCAUGAGCUCUGGCACAGCUGGAUAUUGUAAUUCUUCGUUGUCCUGGCUCACGAACACGUGGAUCAUCCCUGCUCUAUCGCAGUCGAUCGUUGCAUGAUACUUCAAACCAGUCUAUACCCAAAUGACUAUGUACGCUCAGUUUCUCGUGAGCUUCAACGUGCGGAUUUGCCAUAAUCCAAUGGCCUAUUUGCACCGACACGGAGGCGCACUCCGAUAGGUAUUAAACGUCGACCUCAGGGCCUUCUUACUCCCACUUUCACUCGCUUCUAAUAUGUAUGCCAUGAAUGCGUGCGAAUGAUCUAUAUGACAUGAAUGCGUGCUCCUGUAUCAAAUAAAGCCCUAAGCGAACGUCCGGUUAAGGCGAUGUUCCUCGCCUACCGCCAGGUUUCGUGCCGUGGACACUGACGGACCGCAAAUACCCGUCACCGCUGCCGGGCCCGAUCGCGCCAUCUCAGGUUGAUGCGUCGUCAUCGCGCGUCCUGUCGACCGCGGCCGUGGGAGCUCCGUCCAUAAUAUGCCGAACCCGCCCGGACGCCGAUGCAAUCGAUGAGGGCAGGUGAGGCUUCCCUUCCCUGGCAAUCCGAAUGAAGUGCCCGCGGCUGCCCACACCCUUAUAGCACUUGCCUCGGCCUUGUUUCACACCGAGACCAGUGAUCUCCGCCGCAAUACAAUGUCAUUCGCGCCGCUCCACCGCCCUUCUGUUGAUUGUGCGGAUACUUCGGGGGGUUUCUAUAUCGUGUUUGACCACCCUACUACCGCCUGCCUAUGGCUGUUCUUGCCUUGUCCUUGGACUGCACGCCAAAAGCUGCACGCUUCUCCGAACGUGGCGUCUCGCUCUCGCCAUAGCGCUCCGAUCAAAGACCUCAGCAAAGUCGUGAGCUUAAGUAUUUAGCACGGCCAUGUAGAUUUCCCGCCGAAGUCCUCGCAAGAACCACUCGGCCCGGUCACGGUCAUUCCUGUGAGAACAUCCGGGACACAAUUAUGAUUGUGCGGAGAAUUCAUGUUCAUAAAUCUUCCGCACUGAGCGGGUCCCUGCUCCACUUGACGGAAUUUCUCUUUGAGCUUCCCGUUCGUGUAUCGGGAAAUAGUUGUGCGAACAGCUCCCUGCUUGUAAACUCCUCCACAACAUCGGCGGAAGGUCGGCGAAGCCGAUCCGCAGUUAACGCGCUUAACACGAAACCUUCGCGCCUGUUUCUCAGCAAUGGGUGGCGAGGCUAACACCAUGUCCCUCUCCAACGUACGCAAUAUCGCCGAAGUAGGGUUUCCAUCGCAGUCGAUCAAAGACGUCGACCAUCUCGCGUUCCCACCUUUCGCCCUCGAAAGUUGAGUGAUGGAACUUGUUUGAACUUGAUAGAGCCGCCAACGCGAGCGCCUCUCCUUCUACCUCCUGUCGGGACACACGAGGUGAGCGAUCCGGAUGUCGCUGUGGCUGCGAUCGGCUGGCGGUGGGCGUGCCGUCACUGGAACCGCCGCAAUUACCCUCAACCUUCCCACCUCAGGUACGGUUGAGCGCCGGCGGAACACCGCCUCGCCACCUGUCGGGGCGUCAGGAGCGUGCCGCUCCAUAAGCUCCUGGAGACUCUCUCCGAUAUCGGGUCUCCUGGCGCUAUGCAUCCACGUCGAGUCAACGCGUCAUUGCGGCCUGCAGCGAUCCAUCAUGUCGUCCCGUCUGCUCUGGGCACCUCGGGUGGUGGUGCCGGAGUAUAGAUCUCGUACUUGCGCUCUCUUCGGUGACAUAGCUUCCUGAAAUGCAACCAACUUGGUUUAAAUCACUUUAACAAACUUCUCGUCGCGAAUACGACAGAUGACACUCUAACAACAAAUCGGGCGAGCAGCACAAGCGUACUCGUCCUAAACUCUUUGCGAUCAUGUCGUUCGGCCGCCGACACAACCACCUCAAUCAAGAACUCAUAAACUAAUCCGUCUCUAAUCACAACGAGGAGACUAUCCCAAACUUCGACCCAAUGAAUAACUCCGCCAUCGCUACGGUUCACAUUCGCAUCACGCACUUAUAACCUAAGGCUUGCCAACUGGGUCUCCUAGCGUCAGCCUAAACUCCUUUACUCUGCUCUUAUUGCUCUGAUACCACAAAGUGUCUGUCACGCCACCGCCCGAAAACACUAACAAUUUGGACGGUCGGCCCCGGUGGCGGAGCGCCGAACGGACAGCACCUCCCUUCCCGCCCAAGCUCAGACCGGAUGUGUGACAAAAUUGACCGACUUUAAAUUGACAUAGCACAUUACAACAGAGGGCACAAAAUAGUGCCAACAACAAAGAAAAGCAACGUAAUCCCAAGAUAUACGACGUGAAUAAAGAAGAGUGCUUACUAACUAUUACAUCAGUUACAUUCUUACCUUUACACAUUUUCCAACAAUGAAUACAUUUGAUCCUUCAAAAAAUACAUAGCUCAGCCAAAUCUCACUACAGAUCACUCUCAAUACAUAGGUGUACUAAUGGCAAAGGGAAACGCUACUCCCCAUGGCCUCACUGGUCGGCGCGCGAUGCCUCUGCCGCGGUCCUCUCUCUAGACCGCUGAACUACCAUGGAAUAAGCUGGGGUGAGAAGCUAUCUUCCAUAGUUCCCAGUGGCUCGGCCGCCGACUCUGCCGAUCUCGCCCACUAGGUCGAAGUGGCACGAAGCAACAACAGGUAGUAUAGAUAGAUAAGAUAUGAUCUGAAAAGAAAUGCGUAUAAGGAAAAAACUUAUGUACUGAUGCCAUAAACAUGAAUAUGAAUGCAGCAUCAUUAUAAUAGAGAGUUUGCUUACCAUAGGCUAAACAAUUUCGGUCCAUGUCGAAUAACAUGUUCCAUGAACAUGAUAAACCUUUAAACCUUUUUUUCAUUUACCCAAUCUGUGGGGAGGCCUAGGCUGCGCCCCAUAGACUCAGCUUUAAAUCCCAUAGAGUGGCGAGAGGGAUCAAAAGAGCACCUAAGCCCAGAUCCGUCUGCGGACCUCAUGGUGGUCCGGACCUCCAAGUGGUCCUAGUCGCAGCGACACCCGGCAGAUACCGACGCACAAUUCCCUCCAUGUUGGGGAUUGGAUGCUAUCGCACCUUAAAAACGUAAGACUGUUGAGCUAGACUCUAUCCUCUCCAAUAGGAGGAACCCUUGACUAGAGUCAAUACCCAUCCAAUCCUCAUCCAAGUGAGGAGGCCUCUACAACUAGAGUCAAUAACCCAAUCGAAUCCUCUCCAAGUGAGACGCCUAACAACUAGGGUCAACGACUAUCGCGAAUCAUCGGUUCCGAGACCUUCAUGACAAUGUAUUUAGUUUUCUAAAUUCAUUGUUCGCGAAGGCAUUUUUCUAAGGAAUCCGACUAUCCUAGGUCCACGACCUGUAGUGUUAUUUACACUCAUUUAAUUUGCCACUCGUUAUUAUCAAUGUUCGCAUGCCAACUCGUUUGUUAUUUAACAAUAACACUGCUUUUUAAUGUCAUCAACACCCCAUGCGGUUCAUUCUAUCGUUAAGUAUGCAUAGAUCCACCUUCCGACCCAUCCUCACCUAUUAAGUAUACCAAGCGCCAAGUACACUAGGCUCGAUACAUUAGAAAGUAUAAGGAAUGGAGUGCACUAUGCAAUCCUCAAUGCAACUAUGAAGAGAUGAGGAAUAUAAUGUCAUCUUAAGACAUAGCGGAGGAGUUUCGAAUAUUCGGAUGACACCCCCCCACCACUUUAAUCGAUGUUAGUGAGGUUUUCGAAAAUCUUUUUCUCGGGCGUAGCAUUUAUGAAAGGCUUUAGCCUUCCCGCCCGAAUCAACAACUAGCCGGCGGAGCCCGAUUUUGGAGGACUUCACGUGCGGUUUCGCGCAAUGCCAAAUCGAUUCGCCCCGCGUUUUUUGGGACCUAUCAAGUAGCGGGUUUCCAAGGUUCAAAUGAGAGCAAUCUCAUGGCUUUUAAACAAACCCAUUUUGGAGCCUGCUAAAUUGCACCUAUAAGCAAACCACCCAUAAAUCCUUAGUCUUGGGAGUGACUAUUAAGGCUUGUUAGGGUCAUUUGAUCCAAUUCCAAGCAUAUAAAACACAAAAACCGAUUAGUUCUAGAAGCUUAGGGGUUUUUUGUAACUUCACCUUUGAGCAAUCACCAAUGGAAGAGGAGAGGGAGAGGAAGAUGCGCUAGCCCUCUUCUUCUUCUCCUCCUUUCUUCUUCUUCUCUUUCUUCUUCUCCUUUUUGUUAUCUCAGAGAGAGAGAGUACAAGAGAGGCAAGAUGAGUGAGUAUGAGGUGGAAAUACAGAGAGUGGUGGGGACGAGAGAUGGCUCAGCCCACUCAAAUAUAAAGCAUUUUGAUAAAGCCCUCAACUUUGCACUCCUGCGCACUGCUCUCACUGCGCAGUUUUCGGCGGAGGGACCGUCUCCCCGAUUGGGACGCCUGUCCCGAAGAGGCUUCCCUCGGCGCACGCGUUCGGGACCGGAUCUCUCCGCGGAGACGGUCCUCGGGAUGACCGGUCCUCACUGGAGACUGAUCCUGGUGCUCGAUUUUCAGGACUUAGCUACCGAAUUUUGGCAUGUCUCGCUGGACCAGGACGUUCGGGAACCGGUCCUCCCUGCCAGGGACAGGUUGCAUCACCAACCGCCAUAAUCCCAGCCAGGGGAACGCGGUCCUCACCUGGAGACCAGGUCCCGAGAGCAACAUCACCCAAUGAUGUAAUUGCCUCAUUUGCUCUGCGGACUCAACUCCAAGGCACUUUUGUGUGCUUUGGACAUUCCAACUCCCACAAAGGGUAUCUCUGACAGUCAGUCGAUCCGGACGAAGUACAAUCCUCGAAUUUCGAGAAUUCACUUCCUUACAAGGGACCGUCCCUCUGGGCGAAAACAGCCCAGUGACAUCAAGUUUGAGAGAUGAAAAGUUGAGGGCAAAAGUGGAUUUUGUUACAAUAGAGGGCUCAACAGCCCACUCCCCUCUCAUUCUCUCAUUUCACCCUCUCUCUCAGCUCUUUUCUCUCUUGCUCCCUCUCUCUCGUUCUGGAAAGGAAAGAAGAAGAGAAUAACAUGAAGUGGAGGAAGGAAAGGAAGAAGAAGACAAGGAGAGAAGAAGGAAUCAAGAGAAGGCUUGGACACCUCCAUUGUAAGGUACGAAUUUCUAAAGCUAUGAAGUUACAGUGUACAUUAAAUGGUUCGGUGAAGUUGUCCAGUGUAAUGUAACAUACCCGGAUUUAAAUAUAAAAAUAAAUAAAUAAAUAAAAAUAGUAUGAGAUACUAUUUUGAUUGGGUUUAGAGAAGUGAAAUAUAGAUUGGAAAAUGACCUGUGCUGAAAUCGGAG
rnacentral:lncRNA from 1 species